rnacentral:rRNA from 1 species
UACAGAGGUCCCAAGCGUUGUUCGGAUUCAUUGGGCGUAAAGGGCGCGUAGGCGGGAUGGCAAGUCAGUCGUGAAAUCUCUCGGCUCAACCGAGAAACGUCGGCUGAUACUGCCGUUCUUGAGGGAUGCAGAGGAGACUGGAAUUCCCGGUGUAGCGGUGAAAUGUGUAGAGAUCGGGAGGAACACCGGUGGCGAAGGCGGGUCUCUGGGCAUCUCCUGACGCUGAGGCGCGAAAGCGUGGGGAGCAAACGGG